rnacentral:misc_RNA from 1 species
UUGAACGAAUGUAGAGUCGGUUGUAGCUGGCCUUCGGGCAUGUGCACGCCUUCUCUUUCAUCCACACACACCUGUGCACCUGUGAGACGGACGCCCGAGAGGGUAUCCGUCUGCUCUACAUAAACACUAUAUAUUUAAAAACGAAUGUAAACGAUGUAAACACAUCUUUAAAC